UUUCUUCUCCCCUAGAAACGUUUUCUUUCUUGUACUUGUUUCACAAAGUGUUUAAAGCAGAGCUGCCUUCCACUUUUCGGUUUCAGUUUGUUGCAAGAAUGUGUGAGGCACCACCUAACACUCCUGGUGUGCUUGAGAACUGUAAAAUAAUAAUGAGAUCUUGCAGGAGAUAAGUCUACUCUAUGAGGACUGAAGCUGCCGGUCAUUCCCAAGGCCAGACCAAUUGUCUAACAAAGGGUGCCUGGAAUUUUGUGCACACUUGUGCCCAGACACAAGAAAGCUGCU
rnacentral:lncRNA from 1 species